rnacentral:tRNA from 1 species
ACAAUGGUGGUUCAGUGGUAGAAUUCUUGCUUCCAUGCAGUAGACCAGGUUCAAUUCCCUGUUAAUGUA